AGAGUUUGAUCCUGGCUCAGGACGAACGCUGGCGGCGUGCUUAACACAUGCAAGUCGGACGAGACGAUUUAGAAGCUUGCUUUUAAAGAGUCGAGUGGCAAACGGGUGAGUAACGCGUAGACAACCUGCCGUAAAGAUGGGGACAACAGUCCGAAAGGACUGCUAAUACCGAAUGUUGUGGAACUUCCGCAUGGGGGCUCCACUAAAGACGGCCUCUACUUGUAAGCUAUCGCUUUACGAUGGGUCUGCGUCUGAUUAGCUAGUUGGUGGGGUAACGGCUUACCAAGGCGACGAUCAGUAGCCGGUCUGAGAGGAUGAACGGCCACAUUGGAACUGAGACACGGUCCAGACUCCUACGGGAGGCAGCAGUGGGGAAUCUUCCGCAAUGGGCGCAAGCCUGACGGAGCAACGCCGCGUGAGUGAAGAANGGUUUCGACUCGUAAAGCUCUGUUGUCGGGGACGAAUGUGGAGAUGGUGAAUAACCAUUUUCAAUGACGGUACCUGACGAGGAAGCCACGGCUAACUACGUGCCAGCAGCCGCGGUAAUACGUANNGGCGAGCGUNGUCCNGANUNUUGGGCGUAANGGAGCGC
rnacentral:rRNA from 1 species